CUACACAUUAUUUGUAGAAAAAUAAAGACGUUUGAAGGAGCGUAAGCUUUCCGCAUGUGUAGCUAGUAUAUGAUAGCAAUCUUACACAAAUUGGGAGUUUUCAGAUAAAAAAGUGAGCUGUUGCAGCGAAGGCUUUAAUAGCCUUGAAUAUCAAUUCAAACUAGGAUUAAAUAGCUGGGAUGAGGAAUUUGGUAUUCCGUUUCAGUUUAUUUAAUGGACGGUACUGGAAAUUUCAUAGUAAAAAGGAAGACAUUUUUAUUAGACAGAGGAGUAGCAUAAGCCUUCGACAACGAUCGAUACCGCGACCGUAAAUUUGAAUUAUUUUGCAUCUUACCCGGAGUUUUUCCUUUGCAGAUCGUAAGUGUGAGAUAUUACUUCGCCGACGCGCGAGUGCUGAGCGACGGCCGCCGGAGUCGCUCUUAUCGGCCGGUGUGUAACUGGAGGCUCGGCCGAGGAUAUAAAGGCCUGGGGGAAAGUUAUCGCUUCUCUUAUCAAUUUGCAUGAAAUAUUGCCCGAUCGGGAAAUAACAAAAUAGAAAAGUGACACGGGGAGCUUGGGCUGUAAUUGUGCGCAUAGGGCUGCUUGGUGCGCUGACUAUUUGCAUCGCGGGUGAUUUGCGCGUCCGACCCCUGUCACCUGCGCCUAAGCUCGGAUCGUCCCCUGCAGGGGGUCGCGGAAGCUAAAAAAACAAAAUGAAGCUGUUGGAGAAUUCAAGCUUCGAGGCCAUAAACACGCAGCUGACCAUAGAGACCGGGGACUGCCAGAUAAUAGGGCGGAUCGAAAGCUACUCCUGCAAAAUGGCAGGGGAAGACAAGCAGAUGUUCAAGCAAUUCUGUCAGGAGGGGCUCCCACAUGUGCUCGAGGCCCUGUCCCCUCCCCAGACCACGGGGGUCAGUCCCAACAAGCUGAGCCAAAGCCAGAGCGGCGACGAGGCAGAAGGGCCGCUCUCUGACAAGUGCAGCCGCAAGACGCUCUUCUACCUAAUCGCUACCCUCAACGCCUCCUUCCGUCCCGACUACGACUUCAGCCGCACGAAAAGCCAUGAUUUCAGCAAGGAACCCAGUGUCAACUGGGUGCUCAAUGCCGUGAACAGCAGCCUGUCUUCAGCUGCAGGGGGAGAGUUCAGUCGUCUUCAGCCCCAGCUCUGGCAGGCAAUCGAUGACGAGAUCUGCCUCUCGGAAUGUGACAUCUACAGCUACAGGCCCGACCUGGAUUCAGACCCAUAUGGGGAGGAGGGAAACCUCUGGUCAUUCAACUAUUUCUUUUACAACAAGAGGCUCAAGCGGAUCGUCUUCUUUACAUGCCGUUCUGUCAGGUGAGACUAGGGGGCGCCGUUCUGUCAGGUGAGACUAGGGGGCGCCGUUCUGUCAGGUGAGUCUAGGGGGCGCCGUUCUGUCAGGUGAGUCUAGGGGGCGCCGUUCUGUCAGGUGAGUCUAGGGGGCGCCGUUCUGUCAGGUGAGUCUAGGGGGCGCCGUUCUGUCAGGUGAGUCUAGGGGGCGCCGUUCUGUCAGGUGAGACUAGGGGGCGCCGUUCUGUCAGGUGAGUCUAGGGGGCGCCGUUCUGUCAGGUCAGGAUGGUGGGCGCCGUUCUCUCAGGUGAAGCUAGGGGGCACUAUUCUGUCAGCUGAGGUUAAGGUGCACUGUUCUGUCAUGUAGGCUGGGGGGCGCUGUUCUGUCAGUUGAGGUUAAGGUGCACUGUUCUGUCAGGUGAGACUAGGGGGCGCCAUUCUGUCAGGUCAGGAUGGUGGGCGCCGUUCUCUCAGGUGAAGCUAGGGGGCACUAUUCUGUCAGUUGAGGUUAAGGUGCACUGUUCGGUCAGGUGAGGCUGGGGGGUGCCAUUCCCUUGUGUCAUUCGGGCUGCUUCACCAUAACCACCAUUUAUUCUACUCCCAUGCAUACGUUAGACAUACUGCUUGACUACAGUCUAUGGCAAAUGGCGACUUUGUGUGGAAAUUGAUUAAUUGCCUUGUGAGUUCAGAGGGCCUCAUGUGUUCUUUGCGUCAGUGUGUUCAUGACUCCUCUGGACUCUGAAACUGGGAAUGACUUGGACCUGGAUCUAGAGGAGGGGAGCUUUGAGGAAGAGGAGAACAUUGAUGAGGACAGGUGUGGCACACUGUGCACCUGAAGAGCCCAGGGCUGAACGUUCCGGAAGCUUCUUCUCUGUAGCUACUCUCCGGUACGGCUGCAGUUGAAUCACCAGCAUUUUUUUAUGAAGCAUUUAACUCUGCAUGCAUUUUGCCUAAAGUUGGUGUGUUAAUUUUUCAGUGUUUGAGAUUGGAAAGCCGACUGCAUGCUGGAGUGUGAGGCAGUACCAUAGAAAUUAAGCUAAUUAAGCUGAUAAUUUAAUUUAAUUUCAUUGCUUUUUUUUCCUGCACAAGCUUGCACUACUCUGCCUUGUCUUUAGGCAUUAAUUUUAUUUAUAUUGAGGAUAUAUCUUUACUUUUAUAUGAAAUAUUUUUAUAUUAAAUGUUUUUACUUGCAAGACAGAGAAUAAUAUUCCUUCUGAGUAUAUCACCAUGAAAUCCUACACAAAUGUAUGCCCAGAGAGAUGAGAAUUGACUUUGAAACUGUAUAAGAAUUUUACUUUUUUUGUGUGUGUGUGUGUGUGUGUGUGUGUGUGUGUGUGUGUGUGUGUGUGUGUGUGUGUACGUGUGUGUACAUGUACGUAUAAUGUAUAUUGGUUAUAUGGCUAAGAGAGAGAAUAAAAAAAAUAAUUUUUAUUGGUUGGUGCUGGUAGCUUUGUUGCAGUGUAUGCAGUUACAAUAUUCAUAUUCAAAGAAUUGUUUCUCUGCAAGAAGUGUGAGGCCCCUUCUGAGCCUUGUCAUUGAUACUUAAGAAUCAGGACAUUGAGAAGGUUAGUGAAAUUCUGUUUAAAGUUCUGUUUUUGGACACUAGAUGUCACCAGUUCAUUAUUUCAUUAUAGUCUAUACACAUAAACACAUUGUCUCUGUGCACUUUAUAUACUUCUCUGUGUAUGUAUUGAGGUUUUAUUAUAAGAUUUUUCACAUUCUGUCUUGAAGCUGAAUGUAUGUAUUAGUGGUGAAACUUUCAUGUUAAGAGAAACCACUGGUUUGAAGUUGGUAAGCAUCCAUACUGCUGUAUAGCUUUUGUGUUUUGCAGUGUGCUGGGGUGCUUUCGGCAAAUUUUAUAGAGUCCUAAGGCCAGAAGAGCCAUAACUAUAAGAAUCAUAACUUAUAAACGUGUAAUGAGGUCUUGAGACCUGAAUUUAGUUGUUUUCACCAGAUUGUAGUGAUGAAUAAUUUCUUUAAACAAGCCACCAUACCUGUGACCUGUGAGUAGUCAGUUGCUGGGUUGUAAUGUAGUAUUGGGUUAAUUCUUUUGUCUUGGCUUUUAAUUUAAUCGAAGCUGUGCUUGCAUUUUAAUUUUUUGCUUGUGUUUUGACAUGUGAAUAAUUGGUUGUGAUUAAUCUAAGGUGUUGCAGAAACUCCAUUUCUUCGGUGGGCAGUACUGGUCAGAUUCCCUGUUUUCGUGCUGGUUUUUAUUUUGUUAGCGUACUGUUGGCCAGGAUAGGUAUUUAACACAAUGCAGUCUCUGUAAAUUCCAAACGAAUCUGAGUAACUCUGGCAUGAUGCUCUUCAUCCUGAGGUCUAUUUUCUGUGUGUUUUUUUUUGUUGUUAACCCAUUGUGCUAAGUGUACAAUUGUAGUUUUCCUAAGUGAACCUAGUUAAAGUAAAGUAUAAUGGAUGUAACGAAAUGGGCUUCAUACUGAAUGAACAGAAUUAGCUGUAGGGUAUGUUCUUAAGAAAUAUGUAUUUAAUUUCAUUUGUAAUAGGUUUAAGAACAUGAAUAGCAUGCCUUUUAUACUAGGGGUUUGUGAUGUCUUUGCUUUGCAGUCUAAUGAUACUAUCAAGGUAUCGUAACAGUUUCAUAAGGCUUUCAUUAGAAUUGCAGUAUGAGAAGGCAGCUACUGUUAUUUGCCAAACCUGUGAGCUAUGAUUGUGUUUGUAGCUUGGCUCUAUUUUCAUGAAAUGGGGGCCCCAGAUAAUGUUUGUUUAAUUCUGAGUGACUUAUAUACAGGAUCUUAAAUUCUAUAUUUCACUUUAACUCAGUACAUUUGACCUCAGAGACAUAUGAGUUCAAGUAGAAUUCAUAGUGAAUAAAUAUUGUUAGAAAUGGGUACCAAAUAAUGAACUUGUAACCUUUCACUUAACAGUUGUGAAAAAAAUAAACCUCCAAAUGUGUUAUAUUUUUUUACAGUUUGUUUGUCCUCUUACAUAUACAUACACAUCUCCUUAUUUCUGUAUGUGUAUAAAUAUAAAGUACAUUUGAGUUUCUCAAAGCUAUUAUGCUUUUACUGGAUGUCUGAUCCAAUAAACAUUCCUCCUAAACAUA